CCAUGAACAAUUCCACUAACUGUAGGCGCCCCUUAACUCUUAUAGCAUUACUCCAACAUAUAUGCUGCAUAAUCAUGUCUUCUUCCACAUUGCAAUUUGAACUAUGCUUUUUGAAAUUAGAUCUAGACAAACCAGCAGUCCCAUAUAUUCAUAAUAAGCUGCUGCAUAGAAGUGUUUCCCUCCACAUUUCAGUUGGAUCCUUGACUUACUGCAAUAUUUUCUGCACCGCUUUGUCAUACAGAGGCUACUACCUCUAGUUGUGAUUACCA
rnacentral:lncRNA from 1 species